GUGCUCACUUUGGUAGCACAUAUAAUAAAAUUGGAACUAUACAGAGAAGAUUAGCAUGGCCCCGUGCAAGGAUGACAUGCAACUUCGUGAAGCGUUUCCUAUUUUA